AUACGGAGGAUGCGAGCGUUAUCCGGAUUUAUUGGGUUUAAAGGGUGCGCAGGCGGCCAUUUAAGUCAGCGGUUAAAUCGUGGGGCUCAACCCCAUUCUGCCGUUGAUACUGGGUGGCUUGAUUGCGGUCGAGGUUGGCGGAAUUCGUUGUGUAGCGGUGAAAUGCAUAGAUAUGACGAAGAACACCGAUUGCGUAGGCAGCUGACCAGACCGCAAAUGACGCUCAUGCACGAAAGUGCGGGGAUCGAACAGGAUUAGAUACCCUGGUAGUCCGCACAGUAAACGAUGAAUACUUGUUUUCGGCGAUAUAAUGUCGGAGGCAAAGCGAAAGCGAUAAGUAUUCCACCUGGGGAGUACGCCGGCAACGGUGAAACUCAAAUGAAUUGGCGGGG
rnacentral:rRNA from 1 species